rnacentral:rRNA from 1 species
UACCAGCACCCCGAGUGGUCGGGACGAUUAUUGGGCCUAAAGCAUCCGUAGCCGGUCCUGCAAGUCUUCCGUUAAAUCCAGCUGCUCAACAGAUGGGCUGCGGGGGAUACUACAGGGCUAGGAGGCGGGAGAGGCAAGCGGUACUUUAUGGGUAGGGGUAAAAUCCGUUGAUCCAUAGAAGACCACCAGUGGCGAAGGCGGCUUGCCAGAACGCGCUCGACGGUGAGGGAUGAAAGCUGGGAGAGCAAACCGG